GAUUGGAUAGUUGCUCUAGGGAACCGUGGAGGUACUAUUACGUGAGUAAUACGACCCGACACUUAGUACGGCCUGCUCCAUCCGGGUGCGGUCUGCUAGUUCGUAACAGGACGAAACAGCCCUCUGAGAUGGAAGGCUAAUGGCGAUCAAGUAUCUACUACCCCGCAAGGGACGAUUAGAAGCUUUGUGAGCCUCCGCACAUCCUACGGGAUAAUAACUUGCUGCAUUAGUGAUAGAUUUCUCAAAAGCGAGCAGGCAGAAGGUUAAUAAACCUUACUACCUUCGGGGAGAAAAGGAAUCCUGUUCGGAACUCCAGUUCAGGACCCGUCACCACAAUUAAUACGGUGGUGUUACUGCUUGCCUAUGAGAGAUCUUCCUCCUUUUGUAACCGUCAGCCGGCAUAAUACUUAACAUGAACAAACUAAAUUUAAACCAAAAAGGGAUAAAUCUGUUGUCUCUAUUAAGUACUAAGUACGUGGAGGUUUCCAAAAUGAUACCGCUUUCCGAUAAACUCGGAACUACUCUAUUCAAACCAUUGGGGUAUAAUAACAUAUUAUCCCAUGGUAGAAUUGGUAGAUUGGCAAGUGGGAUAAGAAGAACGAAUCUCUUUAUACACUUUACACUGACUAUGUGGAGAACACACGGAACGGCCUUUACCAUAAAAUGGUUGAAAGGAUGCUCUGUGGCUAUCCAAAAAUGUCUAGGUAAAGAUAUAUUGAAAUCUUUAAGAGUCUUGACACCAGACUUACCUUUGAAUGGGUUGUCGCGUGGUCUUCCUAGAAUUAUACCUGUCGAUGACAGAGUACGUAUUCGAAGAGGUCACGUACCAACAAUCCGGUUCUGGCUCGGUUUAUUUAACCUUUACCGGGUGCUAAAAGCACCUGGUGAGCUGAAACUGGGAACCAUUACUGAUAAAUUCUCCGGGGAUAGAGAUGGGUUACGAGCUCUAAUGCGUUUAGCACUAAAGUUCAACCCUUUUGCAAAAUUUAAUAAAUUAGGCAAAGAAUCUCUUGCUCCUCAGAAAUUUAUUAUGUCUAGAUCGGCUUCGCCGUCUAACAAAGUGUCCUGGUUUGGGAUCCUAACGGAUACCAGACUUCUUAGAGAGGAUUCUCCCAGAUUAUGGGAAAACAUCCAAACUUACCUAACCANNNNNNNNNNNNNNNNNNNNNNNNNNNNNNNNNNNNNNNNNNNNNNNNNNNNNNNNNNNNNNNNNNNNNNNNNNNNNNNNNNNNNNNNNNNNNNNNNNNNNNNNNNNNNGUCUCGAAAUCGGGACGAGUUCUCACUCAGAUUGACUCAAUGAAAUCGAAAGAUUCCAUUAGAGGCCAUGGGCUUGGCCCUGGUCUUGCUGUUUCGCAAUUUGCGCUUAAAGAAGAAGCUGCCGGAAAACUCCGGCUUUUCGCUUUAAUGGAUUCAGUAACACAAAGUGUUAUGAGUCCUCUCCAUGAUUACAUGUUUGCCAUUUUACGGAAUAUUCCGAACGAUGGGACAUUUGAUCAGGAGGCAUCGAUUGCGAGAUCACAAGAAAAGGCUGUUGCCGCUGGUAAAGCGUUCAGCUAUGAUCUAACUGCUGCUACGGAUCGACUACCUGUAAUCCUUACCGCAUUCAUACUCUCUACAAUUGUAGGGAUUAGAAUGUUUGGGGGUCUUUGGAGGUCGAUUUUGGUCAAAAGACCUUUUGGUUUUAACAGCCAGGUGGCUGAAAAACUAAAAGUCUCUGACGGUCCGUACUUCUACGAGGUAGGGCAACCUAUGGGUGCUCUAUCUUCUUGGCCCGGUCUUGCACUAACGCAUCACUGGAUUGUCCAAGUUGCCGCUGUUAGAGUUACAAAUUCUAAGAGUUGGAACACCGAGUACGAAAUACUUGGUGAUGAUAUCGUGAUAUUCAAUGAGCAUAUUGCCCAAGAAUAUUUAAAUAUCAUGGCUGUCCUCGGGUGUGAGAUUAAUUUAAAUAAAUCGAUCUCUUCCCGUUGCCGUCCCGUUUUCGAAUUCGCAAAACGAACCUGUUGGAGCUUUGCAAUCGUAAGUGGAAUCUCCCUAGCUCAAAUUAGAGCUGGAUGGAGAGUCGGAGGUCGUGUAGCUAAUGCUCUGCAAUUUGCAAGAGCAGGACUACUGUACCCCGGUGAAUCCCUGUUGCAAGCUAUCCUUUCAAGAAAUACCUUUUCAAAAGGUAGAGUAUUGCCAGGUUACAAGACGGAGUCCGUAACCUCACAAAAGGCUCUAGCCUUAGGGGUACUGGCGUUGUUAGGGGAGAGAUUCCAAUCUGGAAUCAUCCCGCUAAGAACGGUAAUGCACGCGAUCAUAGAUCCUAUU
rnacentral:misc_RNA from 1 species